rnacentral:rRNA from 1 species
GACGAACGCUGGCGGCGUGCUUAACACAUGCAAGUCUACGAGAACAAGGUAGCAAUAUCUUUAGUAAAGUGGCGCACGGGUGCGUAACACGUAAGCAAUCUACCUUUGGGUCUGGAAUAACUUCGAGAAAUCGAGGCUAAUACCGGAUAAUGCAGCGGCACCGCAUGGUGAUGUUGUUAAAGUUUGAGUAAUGCCUAUAGAUGAGCUUGCGCCUGAUUAGCUAGUUGGUAGGGUAAAGGCCUACCAAGGCUACGAUCAGUAGCUGGUCUGAGAGGAUGAUCAGCCACACUGGAACUGAGACACGGUCCAGACUCCUACGGGAGGCAGCAGUGAGGAAUAUUGGGCAAUGGGCGCAAGCCUGAUCCAGCCAUGCCGCGUGCAGGAAGACGGUCCUAUGGAUUGUAAACUGCUUUUAUACAGGAAGAAACCCUCCACGUGUGGGAGCUUGACGGUACUGUAGGAAUAAGGAUCGG